ACUCAAAGGAAUAGACGGGGACCCGCACAAGCGGUGGAUGAUGUGGAUUAAUUCGAUGCAACGCGAAAAACCUUACCUACCCUUGACAUGGUUGGAAUUCACCUGAGAGGGUGAAGUGCUCGCAAGAGAACCAACACACAGGUGCUGCAUGGCUGUCGUCAGCUCGUGUCGUGAGAUGUUGGGUUAAGUCCCGCAACGAGCGCAACCCUUAUCAUUAAUUGCCAUCAUUAAGUUGGGCACUUUAAUGAGACUGCCGGUGACAAACCGGAGGAAGGUGGGGAUGACGUCAAGUCCUCAUGGCCCUUAUGGGUAGGGCUUCACACGUCAUACAAUGGUACAUACAGAGGGUCGCCAACCCGCGAGGGGGAGCCAAUCCCAGAAAGUGUAUCGUAGUCCGGAUUGGAGUCUGCAACCCGACUCCAUGAAGUUGGAAUCGCUAGUAAUCGCGGAUCAGCAUGUCGCGGUGAAUACGUUCCCGGGUCUUGUACACACCGCCCGU
rnacentral:rRNA from 1 species